CGUGAGCACGGCAACGAAACGGACGUAAAAUUAUUUAACCGGAAGAAUGAAGCUCUUCCAAAGCUAACAAGUAUAAAUAUUCUUGACCAUUUUCGAUAUCUGCAUAUCUAGCAAGAUCUUUGAAAUCAGGGUAGCAAAAGGAUAAAGAUCGGAAUUACGUGUAUCUAAAAUAUUCCUCAACAGAAGGCAUACUUUUCGGCCGUAUGAGAUCUGGCAGAUCUGUGGCGCAAAACCAGAUUGACUCUGGCGGAUGAUGACUAAUCCGCUGGCUGUGGGCUCCUUCGCAUGCCGAGAUCGUGACUCAGAGCCUACAACUUUACAGUAGAGCUUCCAUAGCUCGAACUUCCAUAUUCUAUACCUUCAUAAGUCUUACAUGCCGUAUUAACAGUUGACGAAGUUGGACUGUAAUCUCGGCCGGAUCGCAUUUGACAUUGACACAGGCGAAGGCGAAGGCAUUGGGGCAAGGAGAGACGCAGGUCGGAGAGUGAAGUAACGGAGGAGGAGAAAGA